rnacentral:rRNA from 1 species
GAGUUUGAUCAUGGCUCAGGACGAACGCUAGCGGCGUGCUUAACACAUGCAAGUCGAACGCUGAAGCCCGCUUCGGUGGGUGGAUGAGUGGCGAACGGGUGAGUAACACGUGGGCAAUCUACCCCGCACUCGGGGAUAAGCCUUGGAAACGAGGUCUAAUACCCGAUAGGACAUGCCAUCGCAUGGUGGUGUGUGGAAAGUGUGUAGCGGUGUGGGAUGAGCCCGCGGCCUAUCAGCUUGUUGGUGGCGGUGAUGGCGCACCAAGGCGACGACGGGUAGCCGGCCUGAGAGGGUGACCGGCCACACUGGGACUGAGACACGGCCCAGACUCCUACGGGAGGCAGCAGUGGGGAAUCUUGCGCAAUGGGCGAAAGCCUGACGCAGCAACGCCGCGUGGGGGAUGACGGCCUUCGGGUUGUAAACCCCUUUCGGUCCCGACGAAGGCUCCUGUUGUCAGGGGUUGACGGUAGGGUCAGAAGAAGCACCGGCUAACUACGUGCCAGCAGCCGCGGUAA